rnacentral:lncRNA from 1 species
ACAAUCUAGACAUUCAGUGGCCUUAGCUUUUUUCCCUAAGCGGCUCUCCUGGCCUUGGCGGUACUUUUCGCAUCGGCUUUCACUUGUCUCUUGUCUUAACUCUCGGACCAACUUUCCUGGUGGUUAAUUUCACUUAGUAUCUUAUGGGAAAUUGUCUCUUAAUCUUAAUCUUAUAGAGUGAAAAGAACAGUUUUACUAAUUCUUCAGUUGU